ACAAGAAGGGCAGCAUUCCCGCAGAGAGAGGGGUGUGCAGGACGGGAGGCUGGUUCUUUACCACAGAGUCUCUCCUCCCAGGGCACAGUCCCGGCCCUCCUGUGGAGAGACAGCCAUUCUCCAGGGAACAAUGCAAUGGAUGGAAAAUCAUGCUGGCCGUCCAGUCCAGAUGGGCUGACUCACACUCAGCCCUGGGCCGGUGAGCUCCCCACCACAGCCCCCCGGGACCAGAGAGGAGGCUGGCUGCUGGCAGCAGAGACAGGAGAGGGUCCAUGCUGUGUGACCCUGGGGAAAUGUCUUCGACUCUCUGAGCUUUGGUUUCUCCAUCUGCAAAACUGUGGACAUUCUGGCACUUGCUCCACAGGGCCUUAAAAGGAUUCAGUUCAGUUCAGUCACUCAGUCGUGUCCGAGUCUUUGCGACCCCAUGAACCGCAGCACGCCAGGCCUCCCUGUCCAUCACCCACUCCCGGAGUCCACCCAAACCCAU